AGACUUUGUGAGUACUGAUAUUAUAAUUGCAUUUAACGAUAGUUAUCUUUUCCGUGGAAGAAACUUCCUGCUGGGUAUGGUGAGUGGAUUAAGACGUUUGGUUAUCCAGAGAAGAAUGCAGUCAUCAGGACCCUCGAUGGGAGGACCUUUCAAGUCAAAGUGUUCAACCUUGCAGGCGACUACUUUUUUUACAAUGGCUGGUUUGAUGUCGUCACGUCAUUGAAAUUACCGGACGAUUCGUAGGUUGUUUGUCAGUAUGAAGAAGCUUUAUCUUCGUUCCGGCUGUUCCACUUUUAUCAAGACAUUUUUCUUGCGCCAUCUAACUACUUCUACUACAAACCUAAAAAUUAUUUUAAAGACCGAGACGACUGCAUGUAUGUGAACAGGUUGUUUGUUCAUCACUCGAUGCUGAAUACCUGUCCUUCAGAUCCUGUUUUGGUUCGUUCUGCUGGAAAUCGUAAAUGGGUUGUUCGGAUGGAAGUUUUAGACCAUGAGCUUUAUAUUACCACAGGUUGGAGUCGAAUCAAGGAGGAGAUGUCGAUAACGGAUGAUUUUUGAAAUGGUUGAUUUUAAGACGUUUGAUUUGAGUGUUUUUAGCUGUAAGCCUGCCCUUCUUACUUACCCGCCUGAACUUUGUGUUAUCAAAAAAGAACCAACUGAUGACUUAAUUGAAGUGUCUGAUGAUGAGGUGCCUAAUGCGGUUGUUGCACCUGUAUUUGAACAGAGUGUUGAUGACGAAGUACCGGUUACUUUUGUUAUUGACAACCAUUAUGUAAGCUUGUAUUAUUUACUUUUUCAUAA